ACUGACAGCCAUCCAAGCACUCUGCAGUAAACACAAAGCAAAUCAGCAGCAUGUGACUACUGAUUUCCUUUAAUCAGUAAGUGCUGCUUGGGCUACAAUGUCCUGAUGGAAUCUAGAGGGAAUUACAUUAGAGACUUCCUCUAUUUCUAUAAAGAGAACUAAGAAAGGAUGUAGACAUAUUGUUAAUGUCUCUCUCCAAGCUGUAUUUGAGAUUCUCAGCUGUUGGGAACUGAUUUUAUGUUGGUGGAAUUACCCUCUGUCAGCUGAGCGUCAAGACAACCAGGAGUGCCCCUGCAAAACUUUCCUCCUCAGUAAGACUUUCCUACUUCUUGUAAGAGUUUUGUUUUCACCUUUAUUUUUUCUUUAAAAAAAAA
rnacentral:lncRNA from 1 species